AAAAUCGCAAGGCUCUUGAAGAAAAAAAAUACAGUACAAUUCAAUUAGAAAAUACAUAAGUAAAAUACGGAGAUUUUAAAAUGAUUUGAAAUAGUAAUAAUAUAAUAAAGAAGGCGAAAGUACCACUGUUUCCACAUCGGUGAUUCAACAGCAGCACAUACAAUUCCGAGAAGCAGUCCAACGACAUAUAAGUGUAUAGAUUCCUAAACAGUUAACGUGGUAGCUGGCGACAUUAUCAUUUUAACAUGUUCACUGUUUUACAGUUAUUGCUGUUUUAAUGCUUCUGAAAAUAUUACAGAUUCAUGAUGUUCAUUUCUCAUCGAGCUCUCCAUCUGACCUUUUUUGUCCUCAGACAAAGGGCUUUGGUGUGCCCUUGGGGUGCAUGCCGUGUUCUCAGAUGGAGUAUGGGAGUGUCCCUUGUUUCCUGGUGGAUGCAAGCAUGAACUUGCUGGAGCAUGUCGACGCAGUGGGCCUGUUUAGAAUAUCUGGCUCUCUUCGUCACUUGAAGACACUGCAGAAAAAAUUGGAUUCUGGUGAGGAGUGCCUAUCUGCCUGUCGUCCUUGUGACUUGGCCGGCCUGGUGAAGAAAUUCUUCAAGGAGUUGCCAGAACGGAGGUGCUUGCAUAUUUGUGAUUCUGAUUCAGGAAGAACUUUUUUUCUCUCAAUGUGCUAAUCCUUACUUUCUGGGUUUGAUUCCAGAAGUGCAAAGAAUAAGAUGGACGGAACUAACUUGUCGUUAGUCUUGGC